rnacentral:lncRNA from 1 species
UCACAACCACAACCGCUGCCCCUUGUCAUCACCAUUCCAAGCGCAUCAUUGACCGCACCAAAGGUUCCGCAAACCCUAACACUCUCGGGACCCGAGGAUACCAGCGAUGAUGAGGUUCCCACGACGAUGACAUGCAACGUCAUAUCCGUCCGAACAGACUGAACAUCUAAAAAGCUCAUCAUUGAGCUAGACCGGAAAGAUGAACGCCGAGCUAAGGUCGCAAUAGCCCUUUACUUGUUGGGGGGCGGAGAAUGAGGUAAAGGUCUCUGUCGAUUUAGACGGCCGUGGACCCGUAAAUAGGCCGGCAUUCAAAGCAGGAGAAAGGCGGGUUCGAUUACAAGUUUUAGAUGGGCCGGAUGCGCAGCAUGCUCAGGCCCUUGCUAAUUACCAGCCACCGUACGCAGAAUGGGUUGAUAGUGAAUGGUAUCCGGACAGCUAUACCAUCCCCAACUUCUGCAUGUACGCCGGAAAGGGGUGCCCCCUUAGCAUCUGAUAUAUUUUACGGCCCGUUGUGGAAACUCGGCGACCAAUCAAGCCUUGCUUCUUCUGGUCGGCUCGUAUUAGCCUGUGCUUUAUUACAGNNNN